rnacentral:rRNA from 1 species
UUGCACUGGCCUUUGGCUGGUGCAAGAUCGACCAUGUUGAAUAAAGUUCUAGGUAGAGUUAUGAUAAUGACAUUUUCUAUCUAUGUGUCUUGACCAAGUCACGUGCCAGCAGUCGCGGUAAUACGUGGAAGACUAGUGUUAUUCAUCUUUAAUUGGUUUAAAGGGUACCUAGACGGUUAAUCAGACCUCUCCUUAUGGAGGGGUAUUAAUUGACUAGAGUUUUAUAUGAGGAGGGGAGUACUAAAGAGUGUAGAGAUGAAAUUCUGUGAUACCUGCCUUGGAACAGGCAACGGCGAAGGCAACCUCUUAUGUAAAAACUGACGUUGAAGGACGAAGGCUUAGGACACCAACAGGAUUAGAUACCCCAGCAGUCUAAGCAGACAAUGAUGAAUGUCAUAGAUUAGAAUUAUAAUUUUGUCUAUAAAUGAAAGUGUAAGCAUUCCACCUCAAGAGUAAUGUGGCAACGCAGGAACUGAAAUCAUUAGACCGUUUCUGAAACCAGUAGUGAAGUAUGUUGUUUAAUUUGAUAAUCCGCAAAACACCUUACCACAAUUUGAAUAUUAUUUAUUUGAAUAUUUUUUUUUGAAUAUAUAUUACAAGCGUUGCACGGCUGUUUUCAGUUAAUGUCGUGAGAUUUGGUUAGUUCCAUUAAAUUAACGUAAACCCUUGCUUUAUUUAUUAUUAUAAAGUAGUUCACCGCUAUAUUGGAUAUGAUAAAAGGGAAUAAUACAAGUCAAUAUGGCCUUAAUAUUGUGGGCUAUAGACGUG